rnacentral:rRNA from 1 species
AACGAACGCUGGCGGCAGGCUUAACACAUGCAAGUCGAACGGGUGUAGCAAUACAUCAGUGGCAGACGGGUGAGUAACACGUGGGAACCUUCCUAGGGGUACGGAACAACUCAGGGAAACUUGAGCUAAUACCGUAUACGUCCGAAAGGAGAAAGAUUUAUCGCCCUUAGACGGGCCCGCGUCGGAUUAGCUAGUUGGUGGGGUAACGGCCUACCAAGGCAACGAUCCGUAGCUGAUCUGAGAGGAUGAUCAGCCACACUGGGACUGAGACACGGCCCAGACUCCUACGGGAGGCAGCAGUGGGGAAUCUUGGACAAUGGGCGCAAGCCUGAUCCAGCCAUGCCGCGUGAGUGAAGAAGGCCUUAGGGUUGUAAAGCCCUUUUGGCAGGGACGAUAAUGACGGUACCUGCAGAAUAAGCCCCGGCAAACUUCGUGCCAGCCGCCGCCGUAACAC